UGUGCCAAAUGGACUUCUGUUUUUCUGAAGCACACAGCAGCUGGAAUGAAGUUGGAAAGGAUGUUUGGAUUCCAAAGCCUGGGAUGCCUUGCUUCUGCUACUGUACAGUGGAAGCAGCUGCAUUUUGGAAUAUGGCCUUUCCUCAGGCAUGUACAUACACUCGGAUGUCUCAGAACAGCUGUUUUUGAGAGAGAGGUCUGCUCAAUAAGCUUCUGUGGAAACUUUGGAUGCAUUGGUGCUUAUAGGACCAGGAGAAGGACAGGGUCCAGAGACCUGCAGACUUGGUUCUUCUCAUUGGCAGUGCCCUGGUCCUGAAGACUCUCCGAGUUGUGCUAUCACCCACGAUGCUGUUGACCUGUUCUCUGCUCUACCCAGCCAUUCAGCUUUGGGGCAGGACUUCCGUUGCCUCUACUGUUUCCUUCAAUUAAAUGUUUUUCAAAGAGCCUUACCUCACCUUUUCCAAAGUCUCAGCUAUUCUUGGAGUUACUCCAGGCUGUUAACAUCUUGUCCUGUGCUUUUUGCUGACUAGGGGAAUGCACUGCAUGUAACCAACAGCAGUCAUCUGCUAAAGCCCAGGAAUCCUGUGCUUGGCCUGAGGACUCAUCUGUAACAGGAGGACUUUUCUAUGGCCUGUGGUCUUCCGAGGAGUUUGAAUAAAAGCUGUCCUAGUUCCCAGAUUGAAGAUGUUUGCAAUAGCAGCACAAUAUCUGUAGUCCGAACAGCUGAGAGCAUGACUUCACAAAAAUCUGGACCCUGAAUUUAAGUGUCAGGAAGAAACCUGAUUAUCUCCUGGGAGAACCUGCUGCCUUGCAGGGAGAGGGACUACUUUCAAGUGUGACCCUCUUACCGCCCAUGAAGCCAUGUAGAUACAGAUCUUUCAGCUUGUGUCUCAUCAGGCACCAUUAGCCAAGCCUCCCUGCCAGUCAAAUGUGCUCAGAGAAGGAAUUAGGUCUUUUCAUUGGAGGCUAACAAACUAAAGGUGUGACAGGACACAGUGGAGUGCCUGGAGUCUCACCAGACUUGGAAGUGAAUAGUGCAAUUAUGACGGUACAGCUGGGGACCAGACAUGCAAAGCUAUGCUUUUCUUCCAGCCUGGGAAACUACAGAUACUUGCUUUGUUCCAGGUAUAUAUUGGAUAUUUCUGAAUUUAAGCACUACAACAUUACUUAUUAUUUUCUCCUGGAAUCCUCUGUUCCGUGUCACAUAUCUCCUGCAGUGAAUGGUAUUGUAAAGCUUAGGCAUACUGUGCAGACUUAAAUUCCUUUGCUUUGGAGAGCAAGACUUUGGUUUAUGAGCAGGAAUUGAGCAAUCUAAGUGCAUUAUGCCUGUAUUACCAUAUUAAAUUGAUGGCAUAGAGCUCUAAGCAGGGCUGACAUUUCUGUCUGUCAUCCACAUACAACAGAUUUGAACUGAGUUGGCAAAUUGGAGUGAGGCAGAAAUGGGUGAAAAGGGUGCCCUCCCAAAGCAGAAAGGAGCCACGUGGAGUGAUACCAAAGAUGGAAUGAAAAAGCUACAGUUUGUGGGCUCUGUAGAAAGAAGCAGGAAACUGAAGGGUGUGAAUAUAGGUGGAGAUGCAGUAAAGUAAAAGAGAACAUAACGAAGAGAAAUGGACAAGACUAAGAGAAAGUUUAUGCCCAAUACCAUGGAAGAGGUAUCCCGCUGUUGACAUCUGCUAGGCUCAGGAGGAGUCUCCCUCAGAAAGAUGUUGAAAUUCCUUCGCUCAACACAUUUAAAAAUAGACUAAACAAACCCCAGUGAGCCAGACUCUCAUCCUCUUACUCACAUGGGGC